rnacentral:snRNA from 1 species
GUGCUCACUUCGGCAGCACAUAUACUAAAAUUGAAACAAUACAGAGAUUAGCAUGGCUCCUGCACAAGGAUGACACGCAAAUUCGUGAAGUGUUCCAUAUUUUU